UUGGUAGGGAGCCCAGUGCAAGGUGGAGCUCUAAGAACAGAUGGAUCAGGCACGAGAUGGAAGACUCGAGAGGAUGAUAGGCGACGUCACAAAGUGAAGUUCCUAUUGCCACAGGAAGCUAUCCUGAGAAGAUUUCAGAUCAGAAUAGAUACAGCCCAUGAGGAGAUGGGAUCGAGCAGCCUGAUUCGACUCCCAUGUUUGCCCAUCCAUAAGUAGUAGACAUUUAUCUCAUAUUAUGGGGGCGGG
rnacentral:lncRNA from 1 species